CCUGUUGUUCGUUUGCUUGAUCAGUCCUCCAACCAGGUCCAGGUUCCCAGGAGCCUCAGUGUCCCAAGCAAUUCGAAUGAGUGGCCACGUGGAUCCUCUGUAAGAGCAGCAGGUUCCCGGAAGGCAACAUCUUUACAAUUUACCAGAGCAGCUUUGUGCUGUGAUCCUGUUCUUGGGAACAGCGCCACCACCUGGCCAAAGCUUGUUAGCACCUUGCAUACAAACUUCUUGGCUCCUGUCCCACAGUAAACCAAAUCAUGUCAGCUCUA